AACGCACAUUGCGCCCGCCAGCACUCUGGCGGGCAUGCCUGUUCGAGCGUCAUUUCAACCCUCAGCGCCCCCCCGCGGGCGCUGGCGUUGGGGAUUGGCAGCCAGCCAGCCCCUAAAUCUAGUGGCGGUCCCUCCGCGACCUCCCCUGUGCAGUAGCGAUACCUCGCAGCGGGACAGCGGUCUGACCACGCCGUAAAACCCCGUACUUCUCAAGGUUGACCUCGGAUCAGGUAGGACUACCCGCUGAACUUAA
rnacentral:misc_RNA from 1 species